GGAUGAAGAACUUUCAGCCCCUUCUCCAGCACCUUUGUCUGCCUGCACACCACCAUGCUUCCUGCCAUGACAAUAAUGGACUAAACUUCUGAAACUUCCAGGUUCCAAAGCCAGGGAAUGGUGCCACCAACUUCCAGACCAGGUCUUCCCAUAUUAAUUAAAGCAAUCAAGAGCAUCUUCCACAGACAUGCCUAUGGGCCAACCUGCUUUAAGUAAGUCCCUCACUGAGACUUUUUCCAGGUGAUUCUUGGCUACGUUGGCAAAACUAGCCAUCACAAGGACUGUUUGGGGUUUCACAGGAGUCAAAACAGAGAGGCCAGUACAGGCCUGAGGGAGGGAGGGAGGGAGGGAGGGAGGGAGGGAGGGAGGGAGGGAGGGAGGGUGGGUGGUGAUCAGGACCAAACUUUGGCAGUGAAGACAAAAAGGUCUAAAGGAGACAGGGAUCCCCAAGGAAAAGACUAGUUUCAGAGGGGGUGCCGAGUUGAGGAAAGCAGGUGUCCUGGUUGGCUGCCAGGUGGACGGGGAGAAUUUCGGAGGCCUUGGCAGGAAGUCAAGGUUGGCUUAGCCCAAUUUUAGGGCAGAAAGGGUUUCUGGGUCAUUCCAAAUCCCAGGAUCCAAAUGGAGCAAGCCUGAGGGUGGAAGCAAC
rnacentral:lncRNA from 1 species